UUGCUUUGACAGCAAAUAUACUAAAACUGUAACAAUACUAAGAAUUUGGCAUGACUCCUACACAUAGAUGACACACAAAUCUGUGAAGCAUUUCAUAUGUUU